AUUGAACGCUGGCGGCAGGCCUAACACAUGCAAGUCGAACGAGAGGCGGACGGGUUAGUAAUGUCUGGGAAACUGCCUGAUGGAGGGGGAUAACUACUGGAAACGGUAGCUAAUACCGCAUACCAUCAGAUGUGCCAAGAGGGGAUUAGCUGGUUGGUGGGGCAACGGCUCACAAAGGCGACGAUCCCUAGCUGGUCUGAGAGGAUGACCAGCCACACUGGAACGGAGACACGGUCCAGACUCCUACGGGAGGCAGCAGUGGGGAAGAUUGCACAAUGGGCGAAAGCCUGAUUCAGCCAUGCCGCGUGUAUGAAGAAGGCCUUCGGGUUGUAAAGUACUUUCAGCGGGGAGGCGUUACCCGCAGAAGAAGCACCGGCUAACUCCGUGCCAGCAGCCGCGGUAAUAC
rnacentral:rRNA from 1 species